AGUGAACGCUGGCGGCAGGCCUAACACAUGCAAGUCGAGCGGCAGCGGGUUCCCGCGAGGGGAUGCCGGCGAGCGGCGGACGGGUGAGGAACACAUCGGAAUCUGCCUGGGUUGUGGGGGAUAACGUAGGGAAACUUACGCUAAUACCGCAUGCGACCCUGAGUCGACGGACUGGGGUGAAAGUGAGGGACCUUCGGCCGUCACGCGACCAGAUGAGCCGA
rnacentral:rRNA from 1 species